rnacentral:rRNA from 1 species
UCCGCAGGCGGGCGAUUAAGUCAGGGUGAAAUGGUGCGGCUCAACCGUAGCACUGCCCUUGAUACUGGUUGUCUUGAGCCAUAGUGGAGUGGCUGGAAUAUGUAGUGUAGCGGUGAAAUGCAUAGAUAUUACAUAGAACACCAAUCGCGAAGGCAGGUCACUAACUAUCGACUGACGCUGAUGGACGAAAGCGUGGGAGCGAACG